UACUCUGUCGUGGGGGAUAACGUAGGGAAACUUACGCUAAUACCGCAUACGACCUACGGGUGAAAGCAGGGGAUCUUCGGACCUUGCGCGAUUGAAUGAGCCGAUGUCGGAUUAGCUAGUUGGCGGGGUAAAGGCCCACCAAGGCGACGAUCCGUAGCUGGUCUGAGAGGAUGAUCAGCCACACUGGAACUGAGACACGGUCCAGACUCCUACGGGAGGCAGCAGUGGGGAAUAUUGGACAAUGGGCGCAAGCCUGAUCCAGCCAUACCGCGUGGGUGAAGAAGGCCUUCGGGUUGUAAAGCCCUUUUGUUGGGAAAGAAAUCCAGCCGGCUAAUACCUGGUUGGGAUGACGGUACCCAAAGAAUAAGCACCGGCUAACUUCGUGCCAGCAGCCGCGGUAAUACGAAGGGUGCAAGCGUUACUCGGAAUUACUGGGCGUAAAGCGUGCGUAGGUGGUCGUUUAAGUCCGUUGUGAAAGCCCUGGGCUCAACCUGG
rnacentral:rRNA from 1 species